rnacentral:rRNA from 1 species
GACGAACGCUGGCGGCGUGGAUUAGGCAUGCAAGUCGAACGGUAUCAUCCUUCGGGGUGAGAGAGUGGCGAACUGGUGAGUAACACGUAGGUUAUCUACCCUCAAGACGGGGACAACCCAGGGAAACUUGGGCUAAUACCGGAUGUGAGCAACUUUUAGUUGUUUGAAAGGUGGCGUAAGCUGUCGCUUGGGGAUGAGCCUGCGUCCUAUUAGUUAGUUGGUGAGGUAACGGCUCACCUAGGCAAUGAUAGGUAGGCGGCCUUAACGGGUGGUCGCCCACACUGGGAUUGAGAUACGGCCCAGACUCCUACGGGAGGCAGCAGUCGAGAAUAGUCUACAAUGGUCGGAAGACUGAUAGUGCGACGCCGCGUGAACGAUGAAUCCCUUCGGGGUGUAAAGUUCUUUUAUAUGUGAGCAGUGCUUCUUAUAUUAACAGUAUGGGGAGAGAGAUAUUAGCAUAUGAAUAAGCAACGGCUAACUCCGUG